rnacentral:lncRNA from 1 species
AGAAGAAUGGAGCUGUGGGAGUCAAACAGGGGUCUGUUAUGAUUUCCAGGGCUGAGGGGCCCAGGAAGGGCUUCUUCCAGGGGCUACGCAGAGAAUCAGAGCUCCUCUUAUAGAACACAGAUGCUCCAUUGGAAGGAAGCAGUUCCGAUCAAAAGUUGGGCAGCAUCCAGGGUCAUGAACUUAGAUCCUAAAAUAUCUGUGACCAGACCAGCCGGCAAGGAUUUCCUGCCGACCCAGAAGCUGAAAGGAUUCUAUGUUGGCACACACAGAACCACACUGCUGCUCACACCGCACGUGUCUAGCAGAGCUUCCAGGCUUUCAAACAGGCCAAGUGGAGGACCCCUUCACCUCUACGGAAAACUGAUGACCUCAGACACCAUCCAGUGAUACUGUGACCUCUUAAAGGAAUACAUGGCAAUGAAGGCAGUAGAGGGAUCAAGUCAGGAGGUGACUGGAUGUGUCUGGAAAUUCGCUGGGAACACUAACACACUGUAAGUCAGGUCUUACUCUUACCUUAGCAGUGGGGGUUAUGCGAAUAUUGUCAAGUCUACCUUAUGGCUACUUCUGCUUAGCUUUUGCAGUCUACUCGUUUCUUUUUUCCCACACACUUCUCUCUCCUUUAUCCUGCCACACACACACCAAACCGCCUUUCUGAAGGUCUG